UACGAAGGGGCUAGCGUUGCUCGGAAUCACUGGGCGUAAAGCGCACGUAGGCGGAUUGUUAAGUCAGGGGUGAAACGUCCUGGAGCCUCAACUCCAGAACUGCCUUUGAUACUGGCGGAUCUCGAAGUCCGGGAGAGGUGAGUGGAACUGCGAGUGUAGAGGUGAAAUUCGUAGAUAUUCGCAAGAACACCAGUGGCGAAGGCGGCUCACUGGCCCGGUACUGACGCUGAGGUG
rnacentral:rRNA from 1 species